CAAAUUAAAGCUUUAUAGAUAAGUUUUUCAUUUACAUUGAAAAGAAGUUGUGCAAUUCAAUAUAGUUUGA
rnacentral:tRNA from 1 species